UACGGGGGGGGCAAGCGUUGUUCGGAAUUACUGGGCGUAAAGGGCUCGUAGGCGGCCAACUAAGUCCGACGUGAAAUCCCCAGGCUUAACCUGGGAACUGCGUCGGAUACUGAAUGGCUUGAAUUCGGGAGAGGGAUGCAGAAUUCCAGGUGUAGCGGUGAAAUGCGCAGAGAUCCGGAGGAACACCAGUGGCGAAGGCGACACGCUGGGCCGUACCUGACACUGAGGCGCGAUAGCAUGGGGAGCAAACAGG
rnacentral:rRNA from 1 species